CGCUGCUUUCUGUGACAUUUCUAUAUUGGAGACCUAACUAACUUAAGGAUGUCAGCUUGAUUUUAAUAUUUUAUUGGCGACGUCCCCCCUGCUGAUUCAAAUACUGAACAAUUUCAGGAAAGAUUCCAUUUCUUCUUGACCUGAGAGGAAUCCCGUUUUCUUAGUGAUGAGCCGUGCCGGCAGAAUGCCAAGGGGAGCUCCUCCGCAGGUAAGAGUCCUUAUGUGCUCAGCACGUUUUAUGAACUCCGUCAGCCUCAAGUGUUGUACUCUUCCCUGGAAGUCCUGCGAUUUCUGUGAAAUCUUUUCAACGAUUCCAGCCUACAGUGAUGGUUUUCUUCAAGCUCCUACUUAGUUCACAUAGUUGAGGACUCGAUUGGUCUCUAAUUAUAGUAUAAUUGGGUUGUAAGCUCCUCCAAAGCAAGGAUUUAGCCCACUGCUAGGCCCAGAGGCGGUUUCAGUAAAUGCUUGCUGAGUGAUGGAUUUGCAGUUCUGAAUGGUUUCCAGUGAGCAGGACAAACGGGUGAAUUAGCACCGCCGAGGGAAUGCCGUCUUGGCUUACGGAGCAGGAGCAGGCCCUCAGUCUACGGGCGCUUGUCGAAGGCCGUCACUGCCAGAUAGCUGGACAGCCGAGGUAGAUGACCUAGACCCCUGACCUUUUCCCCCCACUCAUCUCUUCUCAUUUGGAAACCUACAUUUUUGACUCAGGCUUUCAAUCUCCCUUUUUCAGGUUUCAGAACAAGCAGUAGAGGGGCAGAGGUCAAAAUUUUGUGUCUGCUCUGCUAGCACCUCACUUCCCAUGGAGGCAUGGCACACAAAAAGGAGGACACGUUGCGUAUUUCAGAGCAAAUGGCCCAGGGCGCAGCUGCCAGUGAAGGAUCCCAGAUUCUACCCAAAGGCCUGAAUACCAUCGUCUUCUGCCUGGAACUGAGUCAGUAAAAGGAAAUAGGAAGCCAAACAGCAGAAGGGCACACCCUGCUUACCAGAAACGCAUUACUAAAGAAGAAAUUCCGUGGUGUACCCUUUGGCUCCUGGCCCUUGGGUCCUGUCCUGCACCAUUGACAAGGUAACAGAGACAACUUUCUGCUUCUCAGGAGAGAAAAUUUUUUAUAGGCUCUGAGGACCACUGUGGGUCCAGGGUCUUUGUGAAAGCCCUGUGGGUCAGAUAGAUGUGGGGACCACCUUAGAAGUAUGGGAUUAGGGGGCCAGCCCCAGUGGCCUAGUGGUUAAGUUUGGCACACUCUGCUUUGGCAGCCCAGGUUCAGUUCCUACAUUUUGGUGGACCUACACCACUCAUCUGUCAGUGGCCAUGCUGUGGUGGCAGCUCAUGUACAAAAAGAGGAAGAUUGGCAGUGGAUGUUAGCUCAGGGAAAAUCUUCCUCAGCAAAAAAAAGAAAGAAAUAUGGAAUUAGGAAGGGAGACUAUAAAGAAGAAAGGGGAGAUUUUGGAGAGAGGUGAUACUGUGGUUAAAGGGACAUUGGCUUUGGGAAGAGAGGGAAGAGCAAGGCUGAUAAGUUUCAAUCAAGACUCAAAUGAUUAUGGGAGACUAAGAAGUUCAAUUCAAAUUCUUUGUGAACACAAAAAUUUGUGGGGGCCUGGCCCUCUGGCCAAGUGGUUAAGUUCGCGCACUCUGCUUUAGUUGCCCAGGGUUUUGCCAGUUUGGAUCCCGGGCGCAGACCUAGCCCUGCUCAUCAGGCCACGCUGAGGUGGUGUCCCACACAGCAGAACUAAAAGGACCUACAACUAGAAUAUACAACUAUGUACUGGGGGGCUUUGGGGAGAAGAAGAAAAUUGGGGGAAGCUGUGUGCUGUAUCUCCUCAUCCUAACACUGACCACAUAUAUGGCACUCAUCUGCUCUCCCACACAACUGUAAACUCAAUGAGCACAGCACCUGUGUAUGUCUCAACUGGUGUUAUUACAGGAUAGCCCAAUGUGUUGCAUGUAGCAUGCACUCCAUACAUAUUUGUUAGUCAAAUAUCCCAGAACCAGCUAGUACUUCUGUUAUUUUCCUCUAGCAAAAACUCAGAGACUGCCUUUAUCUUGUACAAUAAAAGAAUAACCCAUAAAGUUGGAUGUAAUGUGGGAAUUAAAUAAAAUAUAAUAUUUAAUUGUGUCCUGAAGGAAACAUUUCUUGUUGUGGUAGAGAGGGAAUAAACCUCACUGUAGAUCUAAGGACUUGUCUUCUUGUAGCUCUGGUUUUGAUCUUGGUCACAUGAUCCAACAGCAGCUUUCCCACAUAUGCAAUGGGAAUAACAAAUGCUACAUUAUAUGUGAAAAUGCUUCAGAAGUAAAAGUGCCAAAUGAAUACUAGGUAUUCUUAUCAUGUAAGACACAAGUUAAACUGGAAAGAGGAACUCCAGGUACUGGAGCCAAGGCAGGUACCAUGACUUGUCUUAUUCGUCUUGCACACAACACCAGUGCCUAAGUUAGUGUGUGGUCACUAGUUGGCACUCAGGAUGUGUUUAUGGAAUUAGUGAAUGAUCCUCAGCUAAAACAUA
rnacentral:lncRNA from 1 species